rnacentral:rRNA from 1 species
UGGGGAAUUUUGGACAAUGGGCGAAAGCCUGAUCCAGCAAUGCCGCGUGUGUGAAGAAGGCCUUAGGGUUGUAAAACACUUUCAGCGGGGAAGAUGAUGACGGUACCCGCAGAAGAAGCCCCGGCUAACUCCGUGCCAGCAGCCGCGGUAAUACGGAGGGGGCUAGCGUUGUUCGGAAUUACUGGGCGUAAAGGGCGUGUAGGCGGCCUGCCAAGUCAGAUGUGAAAGCCCCGGGCUUAACCUGGGAACUGCAUUUGAGACUGGCCGGCUAGAGGUUGGAAGAGGAGAGUGGAAUUCCCAGUGUAGAGGUGAAAUUCGUAGAUAUUGGGAAGAACACCAGUGGCGAAGGCGGCUCUCUGGUCCACACCUGACGCUGAGGCGCGAAAGCGUGGGGAGCAAACAGGAUUAGAUACCCCCGUAGUCCCUGAGCGGGCUGGCAAGGCGCAU